AGCCCCCCCCCCCCAUACCAAAAGCCUAAAAACCCUCGUAAGUACACAGAGGCGGGACAAGUGUUGAGUGACAGUUGAUCGACUUGACCUCACCCCAUUUACUCUACCCUAACGAAAGUGCUGGGCUCAUCUUAAACGCUAACGACCUGAGUUGUGCUGGUUGGACGUCCAGAAUCUCGACGUGGCAUCACAGCACAGUGCCUUUCUGCUGCUACGCUCCUCAGCAGGUCCUGUGUGGCUCUGAGCUCAUCUAGUUCUCAUGGUUUUCAGCCUCACACAGGCUCCGUCGGAGGAAUCGCCUAUUUGAAGUGGAGGCAGUUCCUCCCGGCAAAGAUAGCUGUCACCGCUCACUUUGUCUUCUGAUCACACAAAGCUCUCAUCAACCGACAGCUGAAGCCAUUAUCCCUAAAGCGCCAUAGUGGUGGUUAUGUUUAACCUGCUGUUCUGCACAAAUGUUCAAAAGACUAAAUGAAGCCUUCUUACUCCGAGCUCGUUGUUUCACCUUACAUCUGGAGGGUAAACAUGGAAUCAUCUGGAGACUUCUCUUAUCAGACAUUGGACCGUAAUGCAUCCCCUCUCUGUUUUAGAUGCAUUUAAGGUCUACAUAAAUGGGCUCUGUGAACGGAUUCAUUGUUGAGUGUUUUUUCUUUUUUUCUUUUUAAAUAAUCUAGGUACAGCAGGAAGUAUAAACUGGUCAUUUAUUUUUCUGAGUCUGUAGUAAAAAAGGUGCAACAAAGUAGGCCUACCUGGAUUGAAACUAAAAUGCUGAAUCAAACCUUAUAUUUUGGCUGUACUCUCCACACUUUACAAGAGAUGUGUAUUUAAAGCAAGGACUCCUUUCUCAUCUUGGUCGUUAAACACGGAGACAUCUUGACCUUGAUAUGAUCCAACAACUGUAAUGAGGUUGGUUUAUUCCACUGUGCUUUUUGAAGCAACUCAGAAACUACUAAGUGUGAUUCUUGGUCUAAGAUGAGUUGUUAAAAACCCAGUGUAUGCAUUACAGGAAAUCAACAUCAAUACACGUUUGAAUGGGAAAUCUAUCGAUAAAACGUUGGUUGUAAAUAAUCCAAGAAUCACAUUUGAUUGUGACAGUUUAGCUGGUUGACAUAAGCUAAUAUAAUGGAGAUUAUGUUACAUAUACAGUAAUAAUGUGAAACGUUUUGUUUGACCGAAAUCAUGAUGGUAUGAGAUAAUGCUGUACAAAUGUAAUAAUUCAAGCUUACAAUGCAAAGAAAUUGUUUUUCUUCAAUACAAAAUGCCUUUGCUCUGUUUUUCUAGUCUGUGGUUGACUUUAUUAAAUUAUUGUGUGCAGUUAUAUUUGAUGCGUAAUUUAUUUUCUGUAAACGUCAUGUUUUUUUCAAACCAAUAAUACAUCAUUUCCUUGCUACAACCUGGAUUCAAAAAACAAACCAGGAGUAUAUUUUGUGAAUGAGUUCUAAAUAUAAAGAAAUUAUACGAC
ensembl:lncRNA